rnacentral:tRNA from 1 species
GGGGGCGUGGCGAAACGGGUAGACGCAAGGCACUUAAAAUGCCUCGGCCGCAAGGCUGUGCCGGUUCGAGUCCGGCCGCCCCCA